rnacentral:rRNA from 1 species
GAUGAACGCUAGCGGCAGGCCUAACACAUGCAAGUCGAGGGGCAGCACAGAAACAGCAAUGUUUUGGUGGCGACCGGCGGACGGGUGCGUAACGCGUAUGCAACCUACCUUUAACAGGGGGAUAACGGAGAGAAAUUUCCACUAAUACCCCAUAACAUCGAUCAAGGCAUCUUGAUUGGUUGAAAACUCCGGUGGUUAAAGAUGGGCAUGCGUUGUAUUAGGUAGUUGGUGAGGUAAUGGCUCACCAAGCCUACGAUACAUAGGGGGACUGAGAGGUCCACCCCCCACAAGAGUACUCAGACCCGGACCAGACUCCUACGUGAGGCAGCAGUGAGGAAUAUUGGUCGAUGGAGGCGAACCUGAACCAGCCAGGCCGCCUGCAGAAAGGGGGCUAUAUGAGUUGUAAACUGCCUUUAAACAGGGAUAAAGCACAGUAUGUAUACUGUGUUGAAGGUACUGUAAGAAUCAGGAUCGGCUAUCUCCGUGCCAGCCGCCGCCGUAA